rnacentral:rRNA from 1 species
UGGGGAAUUUUGGCCAAUGGGGGAAACCCUGAUCCAGCCAUCCCGCGUGUGCGAUGAAGGCCUUCGGGUUGUAAAGCACUUUUGGCAGGAAAGAAACGUCAUGGGUUAAUACCCCGUGAAACUGACGGUACCUGCAGAAUAAGCACCGGCUAACUACGUGCCAGCAGCCGCGGUAAUACGUAGGGUGCAAGCGUUAAUCGGAAUUACUGGGCGUAAAGCGUGCGCAGGCGGUUCGGAAAGAAAGAUGUGAAAUCCCAGAGCUCAACUUUGGAACUGCAUUUUUAACUACCGGGCUAGAGUGUGUCAGAGGGAGGUGGAAUUCCGCGUGUAGCAGUGAAAUGCGUAGAUAUGCGGAGGAACACCGAUGGCGAAGGCAGACUCCUGGGAUAACACUGACGCUCAUGCACGAAAGCGUGGGGAGCAAACAGG